AUAUUCCUUUCACACUUACAAAAGAACUUUCUGUAGAAUUCUAGAAUCAAUAGUUUAUGAGACUCUUGAUUCCAAGCUUAUUGAAGAUCAGCUAUCUACCACAUACAAGUGCCAAGAAAUGAAAAGUUUCGAAGCUAAACCUCUGGAAUUCACAUUGCACCACAGUGACAGUUUAGAUGGUAUGAGGCCCUCAAAGGGUUUGCUUUAUUGAAGAGAUCCAAGUUCACAAAAAUUCUAAAGCUCGGCAAACACAGAAGUUCUGUGGCACCCAAAGUAUGUCACACAAUUAAGAUAAGUCUUUGAAGAUCCUACUUGGCUGAACACUGUGGAAGUCUAAACAGAAUCCUCUUUUCCAGCUAUGCAAAGCUGUUCUCAAGAGGCAUCAACAAUAAGCAUUUUGUAUUAUGCCACAGAAACACAGCAUAGACACCAGCUCUGUAUUUUACAAUCACUCACAAAGCAAUUGGAAUUUGACAAUAAAACAAACCAAGGCCUUCUCCCUAUUACCAAACAGAUUUCUAAGCCCUAUUGUUUAGAAGAAGAAUGUGGCUGAAUAAAGUAGUCCAAAGGCUGGAAGUGACUUAGAGCCCAAAGCAUUUUCACAAAUGCUCUCAGAAUAAGGCUUUGCAAAGCCUGUGCUCACUGGGAAGAGGACUUUCACGGUGAAGAAGCACCCGCACAAUCACAGCUAAGCACAAUACCUGCCAGGCUCACAACCCACACCGCAGUCCUAACCCACCAAGAAUCGCUGAGCAACCCAGCCAUGCCCACAGCCAGUCCCGAGGGAGGGCACACAGAUGCACAGUUGGAAAAAGAACUGCUGAGCAGAGAGUCGCAGGAGCUAGGCUCUACCAUCAGGCUGGGUUCUGAUGGCUCUUCUAUGAUGGCUAAACCACAGAGGGUUCAUAGUACACAGAUAUUCCACAGAAAGGCUUGCGAGCUUCACCAAUUUGCUCAGCUAGAAAUCUUGAGGAUUACAGUGAUACUUGCCGAUUGCAACAGGAAAAUUGCUUAAGCCUCACAAAAAGAAGUUGAUAUAAACUUUAAGCAUUCUGCCUUCCUGUGCCUUCUCUGCCUAGAAGAUUUUCCUUAGAAGGACUCACUUCUCCAGAUAUUAAGUUUAUUAACUACAAAGACAUUGAUAAUUGGUCUUCAUUUGAGUUUGCUACAUCAGCCUGGUUAUAAACUGACAAUGAAUCAGUCAUUCCAUUCCCCAAAUUCCAUGAUUACCAUAAUAAUAUUAAAUUAUACUAGAUACCCUC